rnacentral:rRNA from 1 species
UACGGGGGGGGCGAGCGUUGUUCGGAAUUAUUGGGCGUAAAGGGUGCGUAGGCGGUGCGGUAAGAUUGGUGUGAAACCUCUGGGCUUAACCCAGAGCUGGCAUUAAUGACUGCCGUGCUAGAGUGUGGGAGAGGAGAGUGGAAUUCCCGGUGUAGCGGUGAAAUGCGUAGAUAUCGGGAGGAACAUCGGUGGCGAAGGCGGCUCUCUGGACCACAACUGACGCUGAGGCACGAAAGCUAGGGGAGCAAACAGG